GGGGUUGUAGCUCAGGGGGAGAGCAUUUGCCUGGCAGGCAAAGGGUCGUGGGUUCGAUUCCCAUCAACUCCA
rnacentral:tRNA from 2 species